rnacentral:rRNA from 1 species
UACGAAGGGUGCAAGCGUUAAUCGGAAUCAUUGGGCGUAAAGGGCGCGUAGGUGGCCCGGUGAGUCUUUGGUGAAAGCGCGGGGCUCAACCCUGCGUCGGCCAGGGAUACUGCCGCGGCUCGAGCACUGUAGAGGCAGGCGGAAUUCCGGGUGUAGCGGUGGAAUGCGUAGAGAUCCGGAAGAACACCGGUGGCGAAGGCGGGUCUCUGGGCAGUAACUGACGCUGAGGAGCGAAAGCGUGGGGAGCGAACAGG